AACGUCCGUCGUGAAGAGGGAAACAACCCAGACCGCCAGCUAAGGUCCCAAAGUCAUGGUUAAGUGGGAAACGAUGUGGGAAGGCCCAGACAGCCAGGAUGUUGGCUUAGAAGCAGCCAUCAUUUAAAGAAAGCGUAAUAGCUCACUGGUCGAGUCGGCCUGCGCGGAAGAUGUAACGGGGCUAAACCAUGCACCGAAGCUGCGGCAGCGACACUAUGUGUUGUUGGGUAGGGGAGCGUUCUGUAAGCCUGUGAAGGUGUACUGUGAGGUAUGCUGGAGGUAUCAGAAGUGCGAAUGCUGACAUAAGUAACGAUAAAGCGGGUGAAAAGCCCGCUCGCCGGAAGACCAAGGGUUCCUGUCCAACGUUAAUCGGGGCAGGGUGAGUCGACCCCUAAGGCGAGGCCGAAAGGCGUAGUCGAUGGGAAACAGGUUAAUAUUCCUGUACUUGGUGUUACUGCGAAGGGGGGACGGAGAAGGCUAUGUUGGCCGGGCGACGGUUGUCCCGGUUUAAGCGUGUAGGCUGGUUUUCCAGGCAAAUCCGGAAAAUCAAGGCUGAGGCGUGAUGACGAGGCACUACGGUGCUGAAGCGACAAAUGCCCUGCUUCCAGGAAAAGCCUCUAAGCAUCAGGUAACAUCAAAUCGUACCCCAAACCGACACAGGUGGUCAGGUAGAGAAUACCAAGGCGCUUGAGAGAACUCGGGUGAAGGAACUAGGCAAAAUGGUGCCGUAACUUCGGGAGAAGGCACGCUGAUAUGUAGGUGAAGCGACUUGCUCGUGGAGCUGAAAUCAGUCGAAGAUACCAGCUGGCUGCAACUGUUUAUUAAAAACACAGCACUGUGCAAACACGAAAGUGGACGUAUACGGUGUGACGCCUGCCCGGUGCCGGAAGGUUAAUUGAUGGGGUUAGCGGUAACGCGAAGCUCUUGAUCGAAGCCCCGGUAAACGGCGGCCGUAACUAUAACGGUCCUAAGGUAGCGAAAUUCCUUGUCGGGUAAGUUCCGACCUGCACGAAUGGCGUAAUGAUGGCCAGGCUGUCUCCACCCGAGACUCAGUGAAAUUGAACUCGCUGUGAAGAUGCAGUGUACCCGCGGCAAGACGGAAAGACCCCGUGAACCUUUACUAUAGCUUGACACUGAACAUUGAGCCUUGAUGUGUAGGAUAGGUGGGAGGCUUUGAAGUGUGGACGCCAGUCUGCAUGGAGCCGACCUUGAAAUACCACCCUUUAAUGUUUGAUGUUCUAACGUGGGCCCCUUACCGGGGUUGCGGACAGUGUCUGGUGGGUAGUUUGACUGGGGCGGUCUCCUCCUAAAGAGUAACGGAGGAGCACGAAGGUUGGCUAAUCCUGGUCGGACAUCAGGAGGUUAGUGCAAUGGCAUAAGCCAGCUUGACUGCGAGCGUGACGGCGCGAGCAGGUGCGAAAGCAGGUCAUAGUGAUCCGGUGGUUCUGAAUGGAAGGGCCAUCGCUCAACGGAUAAAAGGUACUCCGGGGAUAACAGGCUGAUACCGCCCAAGAGUUCAUAUCGACGGCGGUGUUUGGCACCUCGAUGUCGGCUCAUCACAUCCUGGGGCUGAAGUAGGUCCCAAGGGUAUGGCUGUUCGCCAUUUAAAGUGGUACGCGAGCUGGGUUUAGAACGUCGUGAGACAGUUCGGUCCCUAUCUGCCGUGGGCGCUGGAGAACUGAGGGGGGCUGCUCCUAGUACGAGAGGACCGGAGUGGACGCAUCACUGGUGUUCGGGUUGUCAUGCCAAUGGCACUGCCCGGUAGCUAAAUGCGGAAGAGAUAAGUGCUGAAAGCAUCUAAGCACGAAACUUGCCCCGAGAUGAGUUCUCCCUGACUCCUUGAGAGUCCUGAAGGAACGUUGAAGACGACGACGUUGAUAGGCCGGGUGUGUAAGCGCAGCGAUGCGUUGAGCUAACCGGUACUAAUGAACCGUGAGGCUUAACCUU
rnacentral:rRNA from 1 species